rnacentral:rRNA from 1 species
GACGAACGCUGGCGGCGUGCCUAACACAUGCAAGUCGAACGGAAUUAAGUUUAACACCGAACGUUUUGUUUGGUGAAGACGCCUUACCGAACGGUGGGUGUUGAACUUAAUUUAGUGGCGGACGGGUGAGUAACGCGUGAGUAACCUGCCUUUCAGAGGGGGAUAACGUCUGGAAACGGACGCUAAUACCGCAUGAUAUAUUUUGGUCGCAUGGCCGGGAUAUCAAAGGAGCAAUCCGCUGAAAGAUGGACUCGCGUCCGAUUAGCUAGUUGGUGAGAUAAAGGCCCACCAAGGCGACGAUCGGUAGCCGGACUGAGAGGUUGAACGGCCACAUUGGGACUGAGACACGGCCCAGACUCCUACGGGAGGCAGCAGUGGGGGAUAUUGCACAAUGGAGGAAACUCUGAUGCAGCAACGCCGCGUGAGGGAAGACGGUUUUCGGAUUGUAAACCUCUGUCCUUGGUGACGAAAAAAAUGACGGUAGCCAAGGAGGAAGCUCCGGCUAACUACGUG